rnacentral:rRNA from 1 species
CCUACGGGAGGCAGCAGUGAGGAAUAUUGGUCAAUGGCCGGAAGGCUGAACCAGCCAUGCCGCGUGAAGGUCAGUGCCCUAUGGGCGUUAAACUUCUUUUGUGCGGGAGCAAUAAUGGUCACGUGUGGCCAGACGAGAGUACCGUACGAAUAAGCAUCGGCUAACUCCGUGCCAGCAGCCGCGGUAAUACGGGGGAUGCAAGCGUUAUCCGGAUUUAUUGGGUUUAAAGGGUGCGUAGGCUGUGAGGUAAGUCAGCGGUGAAAUGCCCCCGCUCAACGGGGUGAAGUGACAUUGAUACUGCCUGGCUGGAAUGCGGAUGCCGUGGGAGGAAUGUGUGGUGUAGCGGUGAAAUGCAUAGAUAUCACACAGAACACCGAUUGCGAAGGCAUCUCACGAAUCCGCGAUUGACGCUGAUGCACGAAAGCGUGGGUAUCAAACAGGAUUAGAUACCCGGGUAGUC